rnacentral:rRNA from 1 species
UGGGGAAUCUUGCGCAAUGGGCGAAAGCCUGACGCAGCAACGCCGCGUGAGCGAAGAAGGCCUUCGGGUUGUAAAGCUCUGUCAGGAGGGACGAAGCCACUCGGGUUAAUAGCCCAGAGGGUGACGGUACCUCCAGAGGAAGGUCCGGCUAACUACGUGCCAGCAGCCGCGGUAAUACGUAGGGACCGAGCGUUGUCCGGAAUUAUUGGGCGUAAAGCGCGUGUAGGCGGCUUGCCAAGUCCGGUGUGAAAUGUCGGGGCUUAACCCCGGAACUGCACUGGAAACUGGCUUGCUAGAGUCCGGAAGAGGAGACUGGAAUUCCUGGUGUAGCGGUGAAAUGCGCAGAUAUCAGGAAGAACACCCGUGGCGAAGGCGGGUCUCUGGGACGGUACUGACGCUGAGACGCGAAAGCGUGGGGAGCAAACA